AUUUAUAAUUCUAGAAUGUUUAAACUCAGUCUAGAACAUAUUAUAUAAAUGCUGUAUGAUGAACAUAUAUACUUAUUGAUAAGCAUUAUCUCCAUGUUGAUAAGCAUUUUUACAUAUGAGUCUUCCAUGACGAAGAUGGAUAAGCAGGGUCUCACUCUGGAUCCCUGUAGGAGUUGUUCUUGGUAGCAUACUCUAUCCUCCCUCUUCACAAAGGGCUCAUGCUCUGUUAUUCUGGCAGGAUAUUGGUGGGGCAAAUGCAGAUGGCAGAAGGACUGCAGCAACCUAAAAAAUCCUGUUUGUCAUCCGAGCUUGAAUGGAACUCCAUGGAAGGCAGGCAGCAAACUUGUCACCACUCUCCCCUCCAGACUUGCAAGGGCUUGCUAUGAGGCAGAGGUAGCACUGAGCUCCUCCAGAAAAGACUCUACAGAACCUCCUGUUCAGCGUGGGGCAUUGUUUAUAUAGACAAGAGGGUGGCUCUGAGACCAUACAAAGAAGAUCGAAAGCUGCAUUCAAGGAUUAGAGUAAAUCUGUUGGAUUUCUUCCUCCUCUUCCCUUUCUAUGAUCUGGUAAAAUGAGGGGACUUAGAGUAACAGCAUGUGAGGUGGGAUCAGUGGGUGCUUAUGUGUUGGUUGGAAGCAGAUGGGCCUUCCAGAUUAGUUGCCAGUGGAUACAAAAGUAUUUGCACAGGUGGAGUAAGAACAGUCCAGUGUGGGAAUUCUCCUGGUUUGUGGGUUUUUUUGUGGUUUUUUUUGUUUGUUUGUUUGCUUGUUUUUUUGGGGUUUUUAAUGCAGAACAGUCUAUCCUACUUUCUGGAAAGAAAAGGCCAGGGCUUACUGCCUUCCCUAACAAGUUGCAAGCACAAAAUCUGUCCCCUCUACCCUUAUGCACAUAAAUACUACCUUCACUCAUGCUGGUUUUGUCUGGAGAUGAACUGCUUCAGCUGGUUCAAAUUCUUUUCUCUUCCUCAUGUUCCUUUUGCUCUGCACUUUUGUUUCCCCAUACAGCUGAAGUCCCUGCUGGUAUUUUGGAUAACUAGAAUUUUGUCACUGACCUGGUAAUGUCCACAGAGACCUAACCUUUGUUAUUAGCCCUCCUGAAUCGAAAGGUCUGCAAACUGAACCAUACCUGCAUGCUUAUAUCAAUCUCAUGGUCCUACAAGCAGAGUCUGUAAGAUGAACUGAGCCAUAACUACAGGAGCAAGAAAUUUGUAUUGGUUUGCCUUCAAAAGGAACAGUCAGCUAUGGGACCUGUGAAGCACUUACUGUUAUGCCUCUGAGUUUAAGGAAAGUCCAGGCUGUUGGUUUUAUUUUUUAAGGAGAAUCUUUCUGUAUUUGUAUGCACA